UAUUAUGCACAGAGAUUUAAAACCAUCCAAUAUUUUUAUAUGUGACAAUGGUAUUGUUAAAAUUGGUGAUUUCGGUUUAGCUUCUUAUGACAACAACCUGUAUUCCCAGAAUAACUGUUUUAUGUGUUUGCAUCAAAGAAAUAAAAACUCUAACAAUAGUAGAAGUGCAUGCAACAAUAAACCUGUUUGUAGUAAACGUAUUAUUCGUAAAAUCGAAAUAUGCGACCAUAAUUUGUGCGGACACACCUUUAAGCCCGAAAAAAAAAUAAGGUGUUAGACCUGAAUAAAGCUACUACAAAUAAUGGUAUAUCUAUUUUUAAUUUGAUGGAUACAGACGAAUUAUCUGGUUAUGUAGGGUUGGAAAGGGAAAAGGAAAGGGAAAAAGAAAGGGUAAAAAAAAGGGUAAAAAAAAGGGAAAAAGAAAGGGAAAAAGAAAGGGAAAAAGAAAGGGAAAAAAGAGAGAGUGUUAUCACUAAUGCGACUAGUAGUACAACAGACACAGUCGCUACUACUACCACAGUUGCUACUACCACAACUGCCACCACUGCUACUAUAACAGAUGCAACAGCUAAAGUCGAUAGCACUGCUGCUACUAUUACAAGUAGCGGUGACAACAAUAUUAGCCAACCCUGCCACAUGAAUAAAUAUGAAACAAAAAAUAAGCCACAUAUUAACGAUAUUAAAUUUACUAAUAAAACAGAUGUUAUACAUAAAAUGUCAUUAGACUCUUGUUUUACUAUUUUUCCCCGCACAUCGCAUUUAUUACCUCUUGUCAGCACUAACACAACAUGUGUUACUAAUAUCCUUUCUUUUCAGCCAAUAAUGCAUGAGUCAAUUGAAAAAAAUAUUACUAACGUGUAUAAAAUAAUAUAUGAUCAUUUAUUCAGGUAUAUAAAAAUGUAUAAUAACAUAAAAAAGAAAAACAAAAUAACGGAUACUACUACCACUACCACUACCACUACUACUACCACUACCACUACUACUACUACUACUACUACUACGAAUAGUAACAAUAUUACUACAUUAGAAAAUGAAAAAACAGGAAGUAAGCAUAUGUUCUGGUAUAAUUUUGAAAAAAAUAAUGAUUGCACAUAUAUAUGUAAUUUGGAUUAUAAAAUGUUUAAACAGUUGUUGACGAUUUUUUUUUAUUUUUUUAUAAACACAACUGUUAAUAUUUACACUAGGAAGGUAUCCAAUAUUGGUAAUGUGCAUAAUAUAAUUAGCCUAAUAAAUGAGUUAAAAAAAAGAUACUAUAAUAAUCAUGAUAAUAACACUUAUCAAAUAAUUGAAGAUGAAAAUAAAAUAAAAAGUAGUAAUUGGAAAAAAAGAGUCUACACUACUAUCAAAGAAACUUAUAGUUGUUAUAAAAAUAAAAAAAAAAGCAAUUUUGCAUACUGUGUAAAAAAAGAUGCACUAUAUUCAUUUAAAAAGGAAAAAAAGGAAAGAGAGAAAAUGUAUGAACAACAGCAUAGCGGUAAGAAUGGGCAUAAAAACGAACGUACAGAACUGUGCGAACACAAACACACAAAAAGACAGAAGGAAAAAAACAAAUUAGUAAAGGAACUUUUUUUUAUGUAUAAAUGAAAACUUUAAUGAUAAUAAUAACAGCUUUCAUGUGAAUAAAAAUAAUGUAAAUAUAAAAACA
ensembl:lncRNA